GGGUGCGAUCAUACCAGCACUAAUGCACCGGAUCCCAUCAGAACUCCGCAAUUAAGCGUGCAUGGGCGGUAAAGAAAAGGAGUUGCAAUUA
rnacentral:rRNA from 1 species